rnacentral:rRNA from 1 species
CCGGAUUCAUUGGGUUUAAAGGGUGCGUAGGUGGGCUUAUAAGUCAGCGGUGAAAUCCCCCGGCUCAACCAGGGAAUUGCCGUUGAUACUGUUAGCCUUGAGUACAGUUGAAGUGGGCGGAAUGUAGCAUGUAGCGGUGAAAUGCAUAGAUAUGCUACAGAACACCAAUAGCGAAGGCAGCUCACUAAGUUGUAACUGACACUAAUGCACGAAAGCGUGGGGAUCAAACAGGAUUAGAUACCCUGGUAGUCCACGCUGUAAACGAUGAUCACUCGUUGUUGGCGAUAUACAGUCAGCGACUGAACGAAAGUAUUAAGUGAUCCACCUGGGGAGUACGAUCGCAAGGUUGAAACUCAAAGGAAUUGACGGGGGCCCGCACAAGCGGUGGAGCAUGUGGUUUAAUUCGAUGAUACGCGAGGAACCUUACC